GAGUUUGAUCGUGGCUCAGAACGAACGCUGGCGGCAGGCUUAACACAUGCAAGCCGAACGGUUGUAGCAAUACAGCAGUGGCGCACGGGUGAGUAACACGUGGAUAUCUGCCUUUUGGUUCGGAAUAACCCUGGGAAACUAGGGCUAAUACCGAAUGGUUCCUACGGGAUAAAGAUUUAUCGCCAAAAGAUGAGUCCGCGUCCGAUUAGCUAGUUGGUGAGGUAAUGGCUCACCAAGGCAACGAUCGGUAGCUGGUCUGAGAGGACGAUCAGCCACACUGGGACUGAGACACGGCCCAGACUCCUACGGGAGGCAGCAGUGGGGAAUAUUGGACAAUGGGGGCAACCCUGAUCCAGCCAUGCCGCGUGAGUGAUGAAGGCCUUC
rnacentral:rRNA from 1 species